rnacentral:rRNA from 1 species
GUCGAGCGGNAACAUUUCUAGCUUGCUAGAAGAUGACGAGCGGCGGACGGGUGAGUAAUACUUGGGGAUCUGCCUGAUGGCGGNGGACAACCACUGGAAACGGUGGCUAAUACCGCAUAAUACCUACGGGUCAAAGUGUGGGACCUUCGGGCCACACGCCAUCAGAUGAACCCAAGCGAGAUUAGCUAGUUGGUGAGGUAAUGGCUCACCAAGGCGACGAUCUCUAGCUGUUCUGAGAGGAUGAUCAGCCACACUGGGACUGAGACACGGCCCAGACUCCUACGGGAGGCAGCAGUGGGGAAUAUUGGACAAUGGGCGCAAGCCUGAUCCAGCCAUGCCGCGUGUGUGAAGAAGGCCUUCGGGUUGUAAAGCACUUUCAGUGGUGAGGAAGGCGAGGUCGUUAAUAGCUGGCUCGAUUGACGUUAGCCACAGAAGAAGCACCGGCUAACUCCGUGCCAGCAGCCGCGGUAAUACGGAGGGUGCGAGCGUUAAUCGGAAUUACUGGGCGUAAAGCGCACGUAGGCGGCUUGUUAAGCAAGAUGUGAAAGCCCAGGGCUCAACCUUGGAAUUGCAUUUUNAACUGGCAAGCUAGAGUUUUGAAGAGGGUGGUAGAAUUUCCAGUGUAGCGGUGAAAUGCGUAGAUAUUGGAAGGAAUACCAGUGGCGAAGGCGGCCACCUGGUCAAAAACUGACGCUGAGGAGCGAAAGCGUGGGGAGCAAACAGGAUUAGAUACCCUGGUAGUCCACGCCGUAAACGAUGUCAACUAGUUGUUCGUGUCUUUGAGACGUGAGUAACGCAGCUAACGCACUAAGUUGACCGCCUGGGGAGUACGGCCGCAAGGUUAAAACUCAAAUGAAUUGACGGGGGCCCGCACAAGCGGUGGAGCAUGUGGUUUAAUUCGAUGCAACGCGAAGAACCUUACCAUCCCUUGAC